CCUACGGGAGGCAGCAGUGAGGAAUAUUGGUCAAUGGGCGCGAGCCUGAACCAGCCAAGUAGCGUGAAGGAUGACUGCCCUACGGGUUGUAAACUUCUUUUAUAAAGGAGUAAAGUGAGGCACGUGUGCCUUUUUGUAUGUACUUUAUGAAUAAGGAUCGGCUAACUCCGUGCCAGCAGCCGCGGUAAUACGGAGGAUCCGAGCGUUAUCCGGAUUUGUUGGGUUUAAAGGGAGCGUAGAUGGGUUUUUAAGUCAUUUGUGAAAGUUUGCGGCUCAACCGUAAAAUUGCAAUUGAUACUGGCAGGCUUGAGUAUAGUUGAGGUAGGCGGAAUUAGUGGUGUAGCGGUGAAAUGCUUAGAUAUCACGAAGAACUCCGAUGGCGAAGGCAGCUUACUAAACUGCCACUGACAUUGAUGCUCGAAAGUGUGGGUAGCAAACAGGAUUAGAUACCCCAGUAGUC
rnacentral:rRNA from 1 species